CGAUAACAUGAUUUGUAUACUCGUUUUUCGCAAAACAAGCAAUGCGCUGAGCAUAGCACAUAAUCACAAUUGAUUUUUCGUGGCCAUCAUGGUGAUCUGACUGUAGAAGAAUGCCAGAUUCUACUUGCAGAGUUUUCACUCCGCCAUAGCAAGAGUUCGAUCAGUAUUGUGGAGGAUUAUGCAACGCGUAAAGCAGCAACAUUGACCUAACAGCAACAACAGGAAGCCAAACUUCUGAUUGUGUGCUUGGCUGCUUGUUUGCCCUCGACAAGGAGACAAACCAGAUACUAGAUUCGAUCAGUAUUGUGGAGGAUUAUGCAACGCGUAAAGCAGCAACAUUGACCUAACAGCAACAACAGGAAGCCAAACUUCUGAUUGUGUGCUUGGCUGCUUGUUUGCCCUCGACAAGGAGACAAACCAGAUACUAGAUUGUUCUGAUUGAUUCCACAAAGUAGCUUAAGCUGAAACAUGGUGUGCAAGGCUCGCAGAUUACAAUGGGGACCUUACCAACCACCCGCUUGUUUAAGAGUAUAGAUUAUUUCCUUAACCAAUGUACUUAGAAACGGGGAAUGAUUCCAUCCAAAUUGUAAUGGUAUUUUCUUUAUGUGGAUUUUUCCGGGCAUUACCAUGUCUAAUGUAUUAUUUGGAUGAGAGUAGAAAAUGAAAAGUUAAUUUUUUUUA